CGUCGCGUCUCGUUACAUUUACUGCUUUGGGGUUGUCACAGAGCAUCACAUAAACCGCGUAAUUAAUUGCAGAUUGCACUUACCGACUUCUUUUCUGUGUCAUUUUUUUUAUCUUUAUUUUCCGCUCUUUUUAGUCAUUACCCAUUACUAAUUAAGUCAAAUUGAGGACAAUAUGCUGUGCUGCAGGUAUUAAGCCAGCUAGUAUUCACAUCUCUCUGCUCAGCUGUUUGCCUUCCGUGUUUUUCUGUCUUUCUAAACAUACCCGUGUGCGUGGACAUGACACAUAUCCACAUAAAGAAGAAAGAAAAAAAAUUGGAACUGAUGUAGAAGAAUGCUACAAACUAACCUUUCAUGAGAAGCGGCAUGAAUGGAAUGAUGGGAGGAGCCAUUUUGGCGACAGUCAAGCGGUACACUCGAUGAUUGCGUGAAGGGUCCAUAAUGGUCUCAAAUUCCUCAAACAGCUUCUUUAACUUUCCAGGAAGUUUCUUAUACACAGGUCUGAGACAGCCUACUGACAGCAAUGUUGCUUAGUCCCAUCACAAUGGCGAAAAAUGAAUGAAGAUUCUGGAAGUCUUUACAACUGUGUAGUGGAGAAUAUAUGACAGGUGCUACAUCACCCAUUCUGCUCACAUAACCUACUGGGGUUCAGGGAUGGAAGAGGGACAAAGCAAAGUUAGCACUACAGCUGCUCUAGCAGGUGUGUAAUAAUUCAAAUUGAUCAACAUAUGAGGCACCAUGUGAGAGAUUUAUAACAUCUGAAUGCAUGAAUAGUAUGAAUGGACCAGUGUUUAAUGAAUUUGCACUACUAAUACUAAAAUGGAAUUUGGAAAAAAUGAGGAACAAGUAAGAUCAAGGUAUCAGAAUAAAUUGUUCUGCUAAAACAAAAAAUUUAGAAUAAUAAUUACACAGAAAAGAUCCCUGAUGC
rnacentral:lncRNA from 1 species